rnacentral:rRNA from 1 species
AGAGUUUGAUUAUGGCUCAGAACGUACGCUGGCGGCACGCCUAACACAUGCAAGUCGAGCGAAGUAGCAAUACUUAGUGGCAGACGGGUGAGUAACAUGUAGGUAUCUGCCCUUUGGCCUGGAAUAACACGAGGAAACUUGUGCUAAUACCGGAUAAGUCUUUACGGAGAAAGCUUUAUGCACCAUUGGAUGAGCCUGCACUUGAUUAGUUUGUUGGUGGGGUAAUGGCCUACCAAGACUGUGAUCAAUAGCUGAUUUGAGAGGAUGAUCAGCCACAUUGGGACUGAGACACGGCCCAAACUCCUACGGGAGGCAGCAGUGGGGAAUCUUGCACAAUGGAGGAAACUCUGAUGCAGCGAUGCCGCGUGAGUGAAGAAGGCCCUUGGGUUGUAAAGCUCUUUCGUCGGGGAAGAAAAUGACUGUACCCGAAUAAGAAGGUCCGGCUAACUUCGUGCCAGCAGCCGCGGUAAUACGAAGGGACCUAGCGUAGUUCGGAAUUACUGGGCUUAAAGAGUUCGUAGGUGGUUGAAAAAGUUAGUGGUGAAAUCCCAGAGCUUAACUCUGGAACUGCCAUUAAAACUUUUCAGCUAGAGUAUGAUAGAGGAAAGCAGAAUUUCUAGUGUAGAGGUGAAAUUCGUAGAUAUUAGAAAGAAUACCAAUUGCGAAGGCAGCUUUCUGGAUCAUUACUGACACUGAGGAACGAAAGCAUGGGUAGCGAAGAGGAUUAGAUACCCUCGUAGUCCAUGCCGUAAACGAUGUGUGUUAGACGUUGGAAAUUUAUUUUCAGUGUCGCAGCGAAAGCGAUAAACACACCGCCUGGGGAGUACGACCGCAAGGUUAAAACUCAAAUGAAUUGACGGGGACCCGCACAAGUAGUGGAGCAUGUGGUUUAAUUCGAAGAUACGCGCAGAACCUUACCAACACUUGACAUGUUCGUCGCGACUCUAAGAGAUUAGAGUUUUCGGUUCGGCCGGACGAAACACAGGUGCUGCAUGGCUGUCGUCAGCUCGUGUCGUGAGAUGUUGGGUUAAGUCCCGCAACGAGCGCAACCCUCACUUUUAGUUGCCAUCAUUAAGUUGGGCACUCUGAAAGAACUGCCAGUGAUAAGCUGGAGGAAGGUGGGGAUGACGUCAAGUCCUCAUGGCCCUUACGUGUUGGGCUACACACGUGCUACAAUGGUAUCUACAACAGGAAGCAAGACUGCGAAGUUAAGCAAAUCCCUAAAAGAUACCUCAGUUCGGAUUGCACUCUGCAACUCGAGUGCAUGAAGCUGGAAUUACUAGUAAUCGUGGAUCAGCGUGCCACGGUGAAUGCGUUCCCGGGUCUUGUACACACCGCCCGUCACACCAUGGGAGUUGGUUCUACCUUAAGGCAAGGUUUUAAACCCUUGACCACGGUAUAGUCAGCGACUGGGGUGAAGUCGUAACAAGGUA